CAGCUCCCUCCAGCCCCAUUUGGGGACCCCUCAGGGGUUGCAUGCAGUGUUUUUGGGGGGGGGUCCCCGCCCCCUUUCUUGGCCCCCCCCCCCAUAAAGACGAGAUCAAGGUGGAGGUGCCGUGCGGGACGGACGAGCCGGCGCGGCUGUGCCCCAACGGGACGCGCUGCAAGAAGUACUGGGAGGGCCCCAACUACGGCAUCACGCAGUUCGACAACAUCCUCUUCGCCGUGCUCACCGUCUUCCAGUGCAUCACCAUGGAAGGCUGGACCGACCUCCUCUACUAUGUGAGACCCCCCCCCCCGGGACCCCCACCCACCGGCACCGGGACCCCCACAUGGGGGGGCUCAGGUCCCAUAUGGGGUCCCACGGGGGGGCUGCAGUCUCUAUAGGGUCCCACAGGGGGGCUCUGGUCCCUAUGGGGUCUCCUAGAGGGCUCUGGUUUUUAUGGGGUGCCCUGGGGGUCUCCAGUCUCUAUGGGGUCCCACAGGGGGGCUCCAAUCCAUAUAGGGUCCCGCAUGGGGGGGGUCUGGUUGUUAUGGGGUGUCCCAGGGGGCUCCGGUCACUAUGGGGUAUCCCUGGGGUCUCUGGUCCCUAUGGGGUUCCUCUGGGGGGCUCUGGUCCCCAUGGGGUCUCAUAGGAGGGCUCUAGUCCCUAUAGGGUCCCACAGGGGGGCUCUGAUCUCUAUGGGGUCCCAUGGGGGGCUCUGGUUGUUAUGGGGUGCCCCCGGGGGUCUCCAGUCUCUAUGGGUUUCCCCAGGGGUGUCUGGUCCCUAUGGGGUCCCACAGGGGGGCUCUGGUCAUUAUGGGGUUCCUCUGGGGGUCUCUGGUCCCCAUGGGGUCUCUGGUCCCUAUGGGGUCUCACAGGGGGGCUCUGGUCCCUAUGGGGUUCCUCUGGGGGUCUCUGGUCUCUAUGGGGUCCCACAGUGGGGUUCCGGUCAUUAUGAGGUGCCCCAGGGGGCUCUGGUCUCUAUAGGGUCCCAUGAGGGGGCUCUAGUCAUUAUGGGAUGCCCCUGGGGUCUCUGGUCCAUAUGGGGUCUCAUGGGGGGUCUGGUCAUUAUGGGGUUCCUCUGGGGGUCUCUGGUUCCUAUAGGGUCUCCUACGGGGCUCUGGUUGUUAUGGGGUGCCCUGGGGGUCUCCAGUCUCUAUGGGGUCUCUGGUCCCUAUCGGGUCCCACAGGGGGGCUUCACUCCUCAAAAGGUCCCACAGGGGGUCUCCAGUCUCUAUGGGGUCCCACAGGGGGGCUCUGGUCCCUAUGGGGUCCCACAGGGGGUCUUUGGCUCCCAUAGGGUCCCACGCGGGGUCUCUGGUCAUUAUGGGGUGCCCCUGGGGUCUCCAGUCUCUAUGGGGUCCCAGAGGGGGUCUCCAAUCCCUAUGGGGUCCCACGGGGGAGCUCUGGUUCUCAUAGGGUCCCACAGGGGAGCUCUGGUCAUUAUGGGGUUUGUCUGGGGGUCUCCAGUCUCUAUGGGGUCUCUGGUUCCUAUAGGGUCCCACUGGGGGUUCAGGUCCCUAUGGGGUCACAUGGGGUGGGUCUGGUCGUUAUGGGGUUCCCCGGGGGGCUCUGGUCCCUGUGGGGUUCCUCUGGGGGUCUCUGGUCCCCAUGGGGUCCCACAGGGGGGCUUCACUCCUCAAAAGGUCCCACAGGGGGUCUCCAAUCCAUAUAGGGUCCCACAGGGGGGCUCUGGUCCCCAUGGGGUCUCUGGUUCCUAUAGGGUCUCCUACGGGGCUCUGGUUGUUAUGGGGUGCCCUGGGGGUCUCCAGUCUCUAUGGGGACCCCCAGGGGUCUCCAAUCCCUAUGGGGACCCCCAGGGGGUCUCCAGUCCC
rnacentral:lncRNA from 1 species